UACAUUACAUUGCCUUACCCCAAACGAUCAGUUUCUAAUCCGAAUCCAUCUUAUCGUUUCUGGCAGCACGGCAUCGUUUGGAGACGUCAACCGGCGAUGACGUUAUUCCUAUGCGGAAUGAUCAAUGAAUAUUUUAGGUAAACAAACCGGAAUGGAAACUCGCCGUUCACAUUCCGGUUUUCGCGAUUUUUUUGGUUUUCGCGACGGUUUCUCGCGGCGAAAAUACGUUGCGCGUGCGUGUUUAUCCCCAUAGAAAAGGGGAAAAGUGUUUUGUGCGAAAAAGAAACGCCCAAACAAGGCAAAAAUUUGUAAAAAGUCCCCGCUGAAGAGGGGUGAAAACUAAAUCAAUGGCACCGAACAAGGUGAAGUGAUGUGUUUUCGGUUGUUUGCCUUCUGCCAAGUGCCAGUGCGUGGGUGUUUUUCCAAAAGGCGCGGGAUUCUAUCUGGCAAAAAAUUAAAAUUUACACCGUCACGACUGAUUUUGGAACAGAAAGCAAAACUUCAGCAGAACGAUUUAUUACUCCGCCACUAGUGCGAAGCACGCAAAACGUUAACGAAGGUAAUGAAGAACCUUCUAACAGCAGUGUAAGUCUUCCUUUUUACUAUUCACUAGAAGAAGGUAGAGCAACGCAUAAAUGGAUCGACAGUCCAAAUGUAAUCCGGCGGUCGCCUUUGAAAUGUUCCCAAAUGAACAAUCCGUUUAAAGGCAGGCCGCCGGUACAAAAUUGUACCAGUUUAUGCUGGUUUGAGAAGAUUUGCUGGCCAAACACCAAGAUUUUUCCCGGUAGGAUCAACCAGCUCGUAAGACGAAGACCCCUUUUUGGCGAGAACUUUCGCCGAUCACCCUCCCCGGAAAUCCUGGAGUAGUCAUCCCCUGAUGCCAUUUCGCAACCAUGGACGACGAAUUGAGGACUAAACCCGGUAGACGAAUGAACCGUGGUAUUUAGAAUGCGUUCCACACCAGAAAUGCGGGCAUCCCAGUGGCGCUGGUCCGUGCGGGCGUACGCGCGAAUUGCCGUAUUUAUAGAACGAUUCGUUCGUUCUACCGGGAACCGGCUGAAUUCUUUGGAGAUGAACGUCGAACCAUUAUCGCUCAACAGGAUUUCCGGACUUCCAUGGCGGUUGAACCAUUGUUCGCGAAGGGUCGCACAAAGUGAGGUGCUGCAAAUUUUGCGAACGGGGGUCAACAUUACGUACUUGCUGAAGACAUCGAGGACGACUAGCAAGUGUUGAUUGCCCCGUUUGCUUCGAGGAAGUGGGCCUAUGUAGUCCACCGAAAUCAUCUGCCACGGUGCACCGGUUGUGCGUGACUGACCCAUUUCUGGUUGGACUGAGGUAGUAAAUGGUGCUUUUAUCUCUUUGCAGGUCCCACAUUGGCGAAUAUAUUCGCGAACUUCUGGUCCCAUACGAGGCCAAAAAUAGCGUUUUAGAACCUCGUGAAUCGUUUUAUCAUAACCCACAUGAAGCAAUUCAUCGUGGGUACGUUUGCACGAUUUCUUCUCGACACUCGGGAGUUGGGACCAAUUUCCAACUAAACCGAGAGUCGAAUGGUACACUUUUCGAGGCCACGUAUUUGAAAAGUUUACCAUCUUCGACUUUGCAGUCAGGAUAAUCAUCAGGAUUAGCUGAAACUUUAGACUUCAUGGAACAAUACCAGUCUGAAAUGGACAAUGCCGAAAUGGCUGCUACAGCACGGGAUAAGGCAUCCGGAACGACAUUGUCCUUACCUUUCCGGUGCUCAAUGGACAUGUCGUUGAGUUGUAGUUCCAAACUUCACCGACUCAGGCGCGAACUGGUUUUCCAUUUGGUCUUCAGUAUCCAGGUAAUGGCUGAUGAAUCAGUGACAAGUCGAAAAUGAUAACCUUCCAAGUAACCUCUAAAGUGUUCAACCGCCAUAAUCACCGCCAGACCUUUCUUUUCGGUAGCGUGGUAAUUCCGUUGGGAAGUGGUUAGCUCAUGUGAAAAAUAAGCUACCACUUUUCCCCCUCUGGAUGUUCUUGCACCAAAACAGCCGCGACAGCAGUGUCGCUGGCAUCUGUCUGCAAAAUGAAUUCCUUUGAAAAAUCUGGCGGGACAAGCACUGGAGGAGUGACCAAAAGUUCCUUUACCUUCAGGAACGUGAGUUCUGCUUCGGAGUUCCAGCCAAUAUUCUUGGCCUUUGUUUUCAAGAGGUCGGUCAAAGGUGCGGUUACCUCACUAAACCGAUCAAUGAAACGCCGGUAGUAACCGAACAUCCCCCGGAAUCGACGCAGUUUAGUAACCGUCACCGGCCGCUCGUAAUCGAGUAUCGGCUGAAUUUUGUCAGGGUUGACCUUUAGACCUUCCUGAUUCAACAGAUAGCCAAGAAAUUUCAACUCUGGAACCCCAAAACGGGAUUUAGCCAGGUUUAUCGUCAGAUUGGCUCUGGCUAGACUUUUAGCCACUUCUUCGAGUAACUGCAGGUGAUGCUCGAACGUUUCGCUUACCACGAUGAUAUCAUCGAGGUAAACAAAAACGUACGGUUCCAGCUUUCUUCGUCCUAACACCUGGUCCAUCAGACGUGCCAAAGUGGCAGGGCUGUUAACGAGACCGACGAGUAAAUUGGAACAUACCCCUGCCGGGCACACUGAAAGCAGUAAACUUACGACUGCCCUUAGCCAAGGGAACCUGGAGAAAAGCCUCCUUUAAGUCUAUAGUAGACAGGUACUUGGCUUUAGGCAGGCUUCCUAAAAUGCGCCCGUGAUGCGGCAGAGGGUAUGCAUCACGUACUGUACGCUCAUUAAGAGGCCGGGCAUCUAGACAAAGCCGAAUAGAGUCGUCUGGUUUGGUCACAGCGACAAUAUUCAAAGACCAAUCGGAAUCUGACUCUUCAAUAAUAUCCAUAGAACGCCAACGGUCGACUUCUUCCCAGACUUUAGACAGUUUUCUUGGGCUCAUUUUAUAAGGAUAUCGACAAACAGGCGCGGCACUUUGAAAUUCUUCCUUAAUUACGAUCCUGUGCUCUGUUAGCGAGGUCGUAUUCAGUUUUUCGGGCACUACAGCCUGAAAACAGGUCGUAACCUGUUCGAUACAGGCCAGCUGUUCCGGAGUAAGUAUAGACUCACUCGGAGCAUCAAUCUCUACUUCUUCGUCCCGUUCCGAACCUGUGUUCAACAGAGCACAAGUUUGCAACUCGGGUGUUAUUCCAAAGGCGCGCCAAAAGUCCAUACCGAGUAUUGAAGAAACUGUUAAUUGCUCCACUACAAGGGUUCAAAUAACCUUUGUCUUGUUUUGGAAAGUGUAAGGAAGAUAUAUUUGUCCAAGGAUCGGUAAGGUCUGUCCAUUUGCUGAACGAAGUUCAACUGGCCUUUCCAAACCUUUCAAUGGACUUUUGGAAAACUUUCGGUACAACUUUUCGGUGAUAAUGGUGGCAUUACUACCACUGUCGAGCAAAGCGCUGAAGGAAUGGCCAUAUACUGCGACAAAAACGAAAGGACGAUUAUCGGACGGAUCAUCGAGGAUGAUGGUUUCAACAAACAACGGAUCACGAUAAUCCUCAUCAUGAGCUGGUCGAAAACUGUUGUAAAUUUGGGGGUCAAAUUUUAGGCUUUCUAUGGAGCACACAUCCUUACACAACUGCGACUUUAGUUGGUACGAAUCCCGUUUUUUAAGCAGUAGGGACAGCGAGAGACAUCGAAACCCUUGAAUCCACACAAAAUACAGAAGACUCGUCUUGGAUUUCUGCACGCCUCAUGCUCGUGUCCAGUACCACCGCAGUUGUAACAGACUCCGAGACUAGGACUAGGUCGAUGCUGCUCCACAAGAUAGUCGAGACAAAUCACCGGCUUUUGUUUGGAUUCCGGUUUCGAAUUUCUCUCGACUAGAUUCUUUUCCGUCUGAACACCUGGCUUUUUCUUCGUGUUUUCAGACGGCGUUUUGGAAGCAAAAUUAUCCUUUUGGGAAUUUUUGCUCCAAAAUGUUUUGGUUCCAACGUGCCUGUUAUUCGAACCACCUCCCUUUCUGUUUGGUUGGUCCUUUUUCGAGGGGUUAACCGGUGGAUUUACCGAAUAAGCAGCGACUUCCUUUUGAGAACCGAACACUUUUCGGUAAAUCGGUGUUUUGUACGCAUCAAUCGAUUUACCUAAAGUCAUCAAUUCUGCAAGCGUACUCACUGGCUUUGAAAUUAAAACUUGCUUAUAGUCCGGCCUUAGGUUCCGCUUGAGCACGUCGAGUUUUUCGCUCGAUGUCAUGGGAACCGUCAUAGCACGGAAUAUUUUUUCCAUUUCCUGGAAAUAAUCCAGGAAACACUCGUUUCGCAUCUGCAGGCGCUGGGAAACCUUUGAUUUGAGAGCGGCGUCAAGUUCCGGAUGAACGAAGUUUGCCUUAAGCUAACAAACCAAAUGGUUCCAGUUGUAAAGCCUGUUCUGCGAUCUCAUAGCCCGAUACCAAGUAAGAGCAUUGUCAGUGAGUAGGUGCAUUGCAGAAUUGAACAGCUCUUCCUCUGAAAUUUGCUCGCACUGAGCAUAAUUCUCAACGGAGUUCAGAAAUUCAUUCAGUCCUAGCCCAUCAUCUGUUCCAGCGUAUUUCUCGAUUUUCCAAUCAGAAACACGCUGUGGUCGACGAUUGUAGUGGUAGCCCGAGCAGGAUGGUAUUUCAUUACCCGUAUGAUUGGGCAAAGGAAAACGUCCACCUGUCGGGCUUGAUCUUCCAUUCCCAUGGUGUUUUGGGGCCUGGGACUGAAUCACUGGUAAAGCUGGUUCCGUGUUCUUAAUCGGAAGUGACGGACAUCGCUCUUUCAGGAAGUCCAGGAGUAACUUUUCCACCACGGUUUGAUUUAAUGUGGGCGCCAGUGGUGGAUCAUGUACUUCCAGUUCUUCUGGCUCGUCUAUUUCGUCCGUCUCACGUCUUUAAUCCAGAUCGGUCUGCAGAUCAAUCUCGGGAACGCCAGCUGGUUUAGAAUGUACCAGCGCCCGAAGUUCACUGACGGAUUCACGAAGUGAGACAACUUCUUGAACCGUCUUUCGCAAAACUGAAGAAAUCGUGUUCAGUGAAGCAAUCCCGCCCAUUAGCGUCUGAGUAGCUUCCAAAAGACUAUCAGACUUCUCAGCCGCUAGAGCUCUAUCCUUUUGUGAUUGCUGACGUAAAAAUCGAAUCUCGUCUCUUAACUCGCUCAAGACAGACCCAACAUCUUCUCCUACGAGCGGACCAGAUCCUACACUUUGCGGGGAAAUGGGUGCCGUUUGUGUUGGUGGCACGUUCGUGUCCAGCAAAUCACCCAAACCUGCUCCACCUUCCCCAGUAUUUUCAAUUGGAGGAAGCACUGCCGACAAAUCAAAAUGUUCUUGAUAUGUAGCAGCAACUUCCGCCAACAAAUCCAAAAUUUCCUGGUUGACCUCCCCUGCUGUGUAUUUGUGGAUUAUUUGGAGUCUAGACCCCAGAUGGAGUAACCUUGUUCGGUAAACCUCCUUGUUUAGGCAUCUAUAACGGAGAUCUUCCUUAAUGGAACUCAACUUCCCAAGGCAGAUCUCCAUUUCUUCAGCAGCAUCCCCAUGAAACACGCCCAAGUGUUCCACCGGAGACGACCGUUCUUCGGCCAACAAUCCCCGUAAACGACGCUGCCGCUGAACUGAAGCUUAACUCAAAAUCUAGCUCGUCGAAAUGCAAAUGGUCGACCCGCAUCAACCAAUAAGCUCUGUUGAGCUCUUCUACAAUCAUCGCCAUUUUCUCGAUUUUUCCGGAAAAGAACUCGAAAGCACAAAGCAUUCAGUAUCGACACGGAAUUUGAGCUGAAUUAAAAAAAAAAUUUCGAAUCGGAUUAAAAUUUUAGGGUUGGCAACCACCUUGACUGGGAAAGACUCAAGCUUUCUACAACUCGGCAGUUCAACCAAAACCAACGCAAAAUCACCGAAUCAGAAAAACGAAAAUAAUUAAAUGUAUAUAUAAUGAAUUUUUAAUAAAUAAAAUAAAUAACAGUAAAAAAUAAAUAAACAAUACGACC